rnacentral:rRNA from 1 species
GGUCCCGCCUGCCCAGUGACUCUUUAAACGGCCGCGGUAUCCUAACCGUGCAAAGGUAGCAUAAUCACUUGUCCCUUAAAUCGGGACUGGAAUGAACGGCUAAAUGAGGACUAAACUGUCUCUUACAGGCUAGCCAAUGAAAUUGAUUUUCCAGUACAAAAGCUGGAAUAUAACCACAAGACGAGAAGACCCUGUGGAGCUUACAAACCAAAUUCACCAAACAUGUUUUAUCGGUUUUCAGUUGGGGCGACUUCGGAGUACAAAAUAACCUCCAAACAUAAAACUAAUUAAGAACAACACAUCAAAAUAUAUUUUGAUGACCCAGCAACCCUUGUGGUUGUCUGACUAAUGAACCAAGUUACCCCAGGGAAUAACAGCGCCAUCCCCUUCUAGAGUCCCUAUCGACAAGGGGGUUUACGACCUCGAUGUUGGAUCAGGACACCCCAAUGGUGCAGCCGCCAUUAACG